rnacentral:lncRNA from 1 species
AAAAAGAAAAACAAAAGAGAAAAAUGCACUUGCCGAGACUUAAGACUCUAGCACAUAUAAAAUGCUCGAAAAAUUUGAGUAGAAAAAGAGUCAAAAGAGUGAAAUUAACCCCCAGAGUAUACGUGAUGCACGAGAAAAAGAGAAAGAAAAAUCACACAACAUGACUACCGAGUUCAAAACCCUUUGUUAUCCAUUUUUUUUGUUUAUCC